UACGUAGGGUCCGAGCGUUGUCCGGAAUUACUGGGCGUAAAGAGCUCGUAGGUGGUUUGUCGCGUUGUUCGUGAAAACUCACAGCUCAACUGUGGGCGUGCGGGCGAUACGGGCAGACUAGAGUACUGCAGGGGAGACUGGAAUUCCUGGUGUAGCGGUGAAAUGCGCAGAUAUCAGGAGGAACACCGGUGGCGAAGGCGGGUCUCUGGGCCAUAACUGACGCUGAGGAGCGAAAGCGUGGGAGCGAACAGG
rnacentral:rRNA from 1 species